rnacentral:rRNA from 1 species
AGUGAACGCUGGCGGUAGGCCUAACACAUGCAAGUCGAACGGCAGCACAGUAAGAGCUUGCUCUUACGGGUGGCGAGUGGCGGACGGGUGAGGAAUACAUCGGAAUCUACUUUUUCGUGGGGGAUAACGUAGGGAAACUUACGCUAAUACCGCAUACGACCUACGGGUGAAAGCAGGGGAUCUUCGGACCUUGCGCGAUUGAAUGAGCCGAUGUCGGAUUAGCUAGUUGGCGGGGUAAAGGCCCACCAAGGCGACGAUCCGUAGCUGGUCUGAGAGGAUGAUCAGCCACACUGGAACUGAGACACGGUCCAGACUCCUACGGGAGGCAGCAGUGGGGAAUAUUGGACAAGGGGCGCAAGCCUGAUCCAGCCAUACCGCGUGGGUGAAGAAGGCCUUCGGGUUGUAAAGCCCUUUUGUUGGGAAAGAAAAGCAGCAGGUUAAUACCCCGCUGUUCUGACGGUACCCAAAGAAUAGGCACCGGCUAACUUCG